UAAUUUUUUUCUUAAAGGACUUAAUUAGCUCAGGGGACCUUCAGGCCCUUGACAUAGCUUCCUGCUGACUUCAGUACAAAAAGCUGGUGAAUGGGAAGUCACUAGUUCCUCCCUCAGGCUUCUAACCAGAAGAGCAACAUGGUCACCACAGAGACAGCUGCAUGGGCUACAGAGGUGGAGAGGAUGAGUGAGCAGCAAAGAUGGGAAAAGCGGCAACUCGAACAGUCAACAACCUAUUUUCCUAGGAGAAAUUAUGAUUCAGAAAGAAAGAAAGGCGACCAAGAUGUUAUACAGAGGAUUAAUCCACCAGUCAAGGACUAUACUAAUUAACCUCUAACAUCCCUUACACCUUUAAAGCUGUAUGAUUCUAUGAGAUGAAACUUCCUAUGGAUUUGAGCCCACUAUGGUCAGAUUGGUGGGAAAAGAGAUAAGAAAUCUGAACUAAUGUUGUAGUUUAUACCUUCCAUACCUCACAAUGCUGCUCUAGGUAACCUCUAAAAAGAGAAAAGGAAAAUUGGCAAUUUCUGGUUGAAUCUGCCAAUUCAGAGGCUGAUGGGUUUUGCCUCUAGUUAUCAACUCUGUACCCAAACUUCAAACAAACUGAGGGAAAAUCAACCUUUAGGUUGGCAUAUUUGAGCUGAGGAUGAGGAAGAACGUCUUAACGUUUCCAGCUUUGCAACAACAGAACAGACUGGCUCCAUGGAUGUGUUCAAGCAGGGGGAGAAGUCACUAUUUCCUCCUGCAGGCUUCUGAUCAGAAGACCAACAUGUUCAACACAGAGACAGGGAAGCUACAUCUUAUAACAAUGCCUUAGAAGGGGCUUCUACAUUGGGAGAGAGGUUACAGUAGAUGACUUCUGACAAUCCUUUUAGCUCUGCCAUUUUAUGUUUUAUGCUCUAAUUAUCUACAAUCUAAUGUUCCCUUCCAACUUUAACAUUUUAAGUUCUAUUUUCUAGCAUUCUGGGUUCUAAAGUCCCUUUCAGUUAUAGCUUUAUUUGUUCAAAGGUCUUCUCUAGUAUUAGCAUUCUGUGACUUCCCUGGGCAAAUUAGGGACAGAUUCUGGGGGACCUCUUCUUUGGCCUUGGGGUAAGAAAAGGAUUCAAGGAUUCCCCGUCAUCUUGCACUGCUGAAAAGUCCAUUCUCCUAUCAGCUUGGACUAAAGACACAUGCACCCCUACAGUGGAUUCAACAGAGUUAAAAAUCCUUGAAUCACGAUAACCUGUAGUUACGAAUAAAUACCUUUUCAGUUUUUGAAGGAGCAUAACAUUAAAUUUUAAAAGAAAAUAAUAUACUCACCCAAUUAGUUUUCUGAAAUCUCAUUAAAAAAUUUAGCCUGA